rfam:Gossypium hirsutum cultivar TM-1 chromosome 20, whole genome shotgun sequence
GGUCAUUUUCAUUUACUUUUAUUGUUAAAAACUAGGGUGGCUAACAAAAUAACCAAACAAUUGCACAUAACGUGCCAUGUGUACCUUAUCUUGAUACAUAGAGUCUAAUUUUUAACCAUAUAAAUGGAUGAAAUUUUUUACA